rnacentral:rRNA from 1 species
GAUGAACGCUGGCGGCGUGCCUAAUACAUGCCAGUCGAGCGAACAGACGAGGAGCUUGCUCCUCUGACGUUAGCGGCGGACGGGUGAGUAACACGUGGAUAACCUACCUUUACGACUGGGAUAACUUCGGGAAACCGGAGCUAAUACCGGAUAAUAUAUUGAACCGCAUGGUUCAAUAGUGAAAGACGGUUUUGCUGUCACUUAUAGAUGGAUCCGCGCCGCAUUAGCUAGUUGGUAAGGUAAUGGGUUACCAAGGCAACGAUGCGUAGCAGACCUGAGAGGGUGAUCGGCCACACUGGAACUGAGACACGGUCCAGACUCCUACGGGAGGCAGCAGUAGGGAAUCUUCCGCAAUGGGCGAAAGCCUGACGGAGCAACGCCGCGUGAGUGAUGAAGGUCUUCGGCUCGUAAAACUCUGUUAUUAGGGAAGAACAAAUGUGUAAGUAACUAUGCACGUCUUGACGGUACCUAAUCAGAAAGCCACGGCUAACUACGUG